rnacentral:rRNA from 1 species
GACGAACGCUGGCGGCGUGCUUAACACAUGCAAGUCGAACGGAAAGGCCCUGCUCUUGCGGCGUGCUCGAGUGGCGAACGGGUGAGUAACACGUGAGUAACCUGCCCUUGACUUUGGGAUAACACCAGGAAACAGGGGCGAAUACCGGAUAGGAGCUCCUGCUGCAUGUUGGGGGUUGGAAAGUUUCGGCGGUUGGGGAUGGACUCGCAGCUUAUCAGCUAGUUGGUGGGGUAGUGGCUUACCAAGGCUAUGACGGGUAGCCGGCCUGAGAGGGUGACCGGCCACCAUGGGACUGAGAGACGGCCCAGACUCCUACGGGACGCAGCGGUGGAGAGUAUUGCGCAGUAGGCGGGAGCCUGAUGCAGCAGCGCCGCGUGCGUGAUACCGGCCUUCGAGUUAUAAACCACUUUGGCAUGUGACGAAGCGUGAGUGACGGUAAUGGGUAAGAAAGCACCGGCUAACUACGUG